CUUGAGACCUUUUUGAAGAGAAGAAGUGUGUAGAAGAAGAAAACCCUAAGUUAAGGGGAAAACGAGUGAAAGCGAAUCAAUUCCAACUCCAAAAGAGGAAAUAUUAAUUGAUUUUACAAAGAUGGAAUAAGGUUGAAGAAGCAGAAGGAAUCAUUAAUUGAACGGUGAGCGUUUUGCUGACGCAAUCAUCAGUGUUUUUAUUUUUUCAUUCUUUUUGGAUGUUAGUGUGGUGUGGGCUUUUCAUUAAAAUUAAUUAAUGAUUUGAUUGAUUGAUUGAUGGAUGGAAUUAUUAUAUGUGUUUUUUUUUCA